rnacentral:rRNA from 1 species
UGGGGAAUUUUGGACAAUGGGCGAAAGCCUGAUCCAGCAAUGCCGCGUGUGUGAAGAAGGCCUUCGGGUUGUAAAGCACUUUUGUCCGGAAAGAAAUCCUUGGCUCUAAUACAGUCGGGGGAUGACGGUACCGGAAGAAUAAGCACCGGCUAACUACGUGCCAGCAGCCGCGGUAAUACGUAGGGUGCAAGCGUUAAUCGGAAUUACUGGGCGUAAAGCGUGCGCAGGCGGUUUGCUAAGACCGAUGUGAAACCCCGGGCUCAACCUGGGAACUGCAUUGGUGACUGGCAGGCUAGAGUAUGGCAGAGGGGGGUAGAAUUCCACGUGUAGCAGUGAAAUGCGUAGAGAUGUGGAGGAAUACCGAUGGCGAAGGCAGCCCCCUGGGCCAAUACUGACGCUCAUGCACGAAAGCGUGGGGAGCAAACAGGAUUAGAUACCCUGGUAGUCCACGCCCUAAACGAUGUCAACUAGUUGUUGGGGAUUCAUUUCCUUAGUAACGUAGCUAACGCGUGAAGUUGACCGCCUGGGGAGUACGGUCGCAAGAUUAAAACUCAAAGGAAUUGACGGGGUCAUAGCUGUUUCCU